rnacentral:rRNA from 1 species
GAACUGUAGAGUUUGAUCCUGGCUCAGAUUGAACGCUGGCGGAAUGCUUUACACAUGCAAGUCGAGCGGCAGCGCGGGGCAACCUGGCGGCGAGCGGCGAACGGGUGAGUAAUACAUCGGAACGUGCCCAGACGUGGGGGAUAACUACUCGAAAGAGUAGCUAAUACCGCAUACGAUCUAAGGAUGAAAGCGGGGGAUCGCAAGACCUCGCGCGUUUGGAGCGGCCGAUGGCAGAUUAGGUAGUUGGUGGGGUAAAGGCUUACCAAGCCUGCGAUCUGUAGCUGGUCUGAGAGGACGACCAGCCACACUGGGACUGAGACACGGCCCAGACUCCUACGGGAGGCAGCAGUGGGGAAUUUUGGACAAUGGGCGAAAGCCUGAUCCAGCCAUUCCGCGUGCAGGAUGAAGGCCCUCGGGUUGUAAACUGCUUUUGUACAGAACGAAAAAGCUCUGGUUAAUACCUGGAGUCCAUGACGGUACUGUAAGAAUAAGCACCGGCUAACUACGUGCCAGCAGCCGCGGUAAUACGUAGGGUGCAAGCGUUAAUCGGAAUUACUGGGCGUAAAGCGUGCGCAGGCGGUUUUGUAAGACAGAGG